AUGAAUGUUUAUAAUUAUAUUAGUAUUGAAGAGUUAAAAUAUGCUUUAGUAGCUAAAAGUGUAAAUUGUAAGGGACUUUUUUUUCUUAUUAUAAACUUUUUUUAUAAACCCAAAGCAGUUAAAAGUUUAAAAAAUUAUAUAGUGGACCUGAAAUUGAUGAUGUAUAACCAAAUUUUAAAAAAAAAAAAUAAAGAAAAGACUGAUAGAAAGAAAAGAAAAAAAAGAGAAAGAGAGAAGGCAAGACAGAGGGAGAGAGAAAAAACAGAGAGAAUGAUAGAACGAACAAACAAAACGAACUUGAAAAAAACAAACAAACAAUGUAUUCAUUAUUCUGCCUCACGUUUGCCCUCGCGUUUGCCCUCGCGCUUGCCCUCGUCCUCUUCUUCGUCGUCGUCCUCUUUUUACGAAAGUAGCUUUGAUAAUAUAUUUAAUUAUAAAAAUUUAAAAAAAAAAAAAAAAAAAGACUUGAUAGUAUAUAAUACAUAUAAGUGUUCUUCAGAAGAAAUAAAUUAUAAUACAACUGACACAUAUAAAGAGUUAAUAAAAAAAAAUCCACAAGCGAAUUAUGAUAAUUUUUAUAUAGCAGAAACAGGUGUGCAUGAUAAUAAUAAUAAUAAUAAUAAUAAUCGUCAUGGUUUCAUUGAUAAACAAGAAGAGUACAAAAACAAACAAGUUGUUAAUACAGAUAUACCCUUAUCUGUGGAAGUGAAUAAAAAUAGGAUGAUGGUUGUAGAUGAUAAUAAAAUUAUGUUAAAAAACAAUCAGGUUCCAGAGCGUGAACAAACUAGGCAAAGUGAGCAAACUACACAAACUGUACAAAGUGAGCAAACUGGACAACUAAGCAAUAGUAAAAAAUAUCAGUUACAAACAUCAUCAGACGUGAUACGAAACAUUAGUUACACAAAAUAUAAUAAUGUAUUAGAAAAAGUAAGUCUAAAUAUGUAUUACUAUUUAGAAGGCCUAAAAUACAACAUAUACAGGUUUUAUUUUCCUAAGUGUAUGAAAGGCUUAUUAUUUCAAACGGCUUCCGAAUAUUUAUAUCAAAAAUAUAAUGUUUUUUUAAUUGGUGUCAUAACUAUUAAUAAAGAAAUAUUUUUAAAUCCAGUUGAUUAUAUUAUAGGUGAAGAAAAAAAACAUUAUUAUACUUCUGCUUUUUCGGGUAUUAUAUUAACUACUACUUUAGAUUGUUUAGUGAAAUUAUGUUCUAUUAAAUAUAUAUCGAAAGAUGUAUAUGAAUAUAACACUAGACAAAUUUAUGCCAAGUGGAAAAAUAAAAAAAAUAGAAUGAGCACACGAAUUGAUGAACAUAGCAUGCCCAUGCCCUCUUUAGGUAAUAAAAACGUAGCAACUAACAUGAAUUUACAAAAGGGAAUUGGUUUUAACACAAAUAACAACAAAACUGAUAAAAAAAACGAUGAGUUUACUCUCGUAAAAGUGGAGAACAACAAUAGCGAUCAAAACUUAGAAAAUAGACAAAAUAAUUACUUAUUAUGUGAAAGCAAUAGUAGCAAAAACAGAAUAAGAAAAAAAUAUAUGGUAUAUAAUUUUUUUCUAGGUAUAUACGAAAUAGAUAACUAUAUUAUUGCAUAUAAAGAAAUUUUUUAUAAUAAAAAAAAACCACUGUUACUAAUAUGUGGUUGGCCUUAUAAUAUACAAUUAUUAUUUAAGUAUUUAAAAGUCGAUUUAUAUAACUAUGGUGACGACAGUAACGACAAAAAAAAAAAUAAUAAUGAAAAAAAAAAAAAAAGGUAA
rnacentral:lncRNA from 1 species